rnacentral:rRNA from 1 species
CCCUUAGAUGUCCUGGGCCGCACGCGCGUUACACUGAUGCAUUCAACGAGCUUAUAACCUUGGCCGAGAGGCCUGGGCAAUCUUGUUAACGUGCAUCGUGAUAGGGAUAGAUUAUUGAAAUUAUUAAUCUUGAACGAGGAAUUCCUAGUAAACGCAGAUCAUCAAUCUGCAUUGAUUACGUCCCUGCCCUUUGUACACACCGCCCGUCGCUCCUACCGAUUGAGUGAGCCGAUGAAACUGCCGGAUGUGGACUAUUCAUAGUCUGCAGAAGAUAUUUGAAUCGUAGCGCUUAGAGGAAGGAGAAGUCGUAACA